rnacentral:rRNA from 1 species
GAUGAACGCUAGCGGGAGGCCUAACACAUGCAAGCCGAGCGGUAGAGUCUCUUCGGAGACUUGAGAGCGGCGCACGGGUGCGGAACACGUGUGCAACCUGCCUUUAUCUGGGGGAUAGCCUUUCGAAGGGAAGAUUAAUACCCCAUAAUAUACUGGAUGGCAUCAUCUGGUAUUGAAAACUCCGGUGGAUAGAGAUGGGCACGCGCAAGAUUAGAUAGUUGGUGAGGUAACGGCUCACCAAGUCAGCGAUCUUUAGGGGGCCUGAGAGGGUGAUCCCCCACACUGGUACUGAGACACGGACCAGACUCCUACGGGAGGCAGCAGUGAGGAAUAUUGGACAAUGGGUGAGAGCCUGAUCCAGCCAUCCCGCGUGAAGGACGACGGCCCUAUGGGUUGUAAACUUCUUUUGUAUAGGGAUAAACCUAGAUACGUGUAUUUAGCUGAAGGUACUAUACGAAUAAGCACCGGCUAACUCCGUG